rnacentral:rRNA from 1 species
AUACGUAGGGUGCGAGCGUUGUCCGGAAUUACUGGGCGUAGAGAGCUCGUAGGUGGUUUGUCGCGUCGUCUGUGAAACUCCGGGGCUUAACUCCGGGCGUGCAGGCGAUACGGGCAUAACUUGAGUACUGUAGGGGAGACUGGAAUUCCUGGUGUAGCGGUGAAAUGCGCAGAUAUCAGGAGGAACACCGGUGGCGAAGGCGGGUUGCUGGGCAUUAACUGACGCUGAGGAGCAAAAGCAUGGGUAGCGAACAGGAUUAGAUGCCCUGGGAGUCCAUGCCGUAAACGGUGGGCGCUAGGUGUAGGGGUCUUCCACGACUUCUGUGCCGUAGCUAACGCAUUAAGCGCCCCGCCUGGGGAGUACGGCCGCAAGGCUAAAACUCAAAGGAAUUGACGGGG